rnacentral:rRNA from 1 species
GACGAACGCUGGACGGCAGGCUUACUCAUGCGCGUCCCACCAGAACCCUUUGGCUUUGCCAAUGCAAGUACAUGUGGCGGACGGGUGCUUAUCGCGUAGAUAACCUGCCCUCACGCGCGGGACAAUCACGAGGUAAACCGUGGCUUAUACCAUCACGUCAUUCUGGAUCCCUCAUGGGAACCAGAUGAAAACUCUUCGGGCGCCUUUGGAUGGGUCAGCGUGUGUGUAUUAGCUUGUUGGUGAAUCUAACAGCUCUAGCCUGCGCAACUAUCCAUACCUGGUCUGACAGGACGAUCACCCACGCUGGGAGAGAGACACGGCCCAAACUCCUACCGGAGGCACCACUGGGGAAUCUUGCACAAUGGGGUAACCUCUGAUGCAGCCAUGCACUCGUGGAGGAAGACACGCCUAUGGCGGCGUAGCCUCAUUUUCUGAACCAUCACACCACUGUAGCUUCCGGGCGCGACGGUAUUUCACGAAUAAGCACCCGCUAGCUACGCGCCCUCUCCCGCGGUGAUACCGAGGGUGCAAGCGUUGUCCAGGAUCUUUGCGUGUCAACGGUGCGCACGCGGGGCACCAAGUCUUGAUGUGAAACCCCAUGGCUUCCCCUUGGAUGUGCAUUCGAAAUUGUUGCUCUUGAGUCGAGGACAGGCUGUCUGAAUUCAUGGUGUGCCGGUGAAAUGCGUAAAUAUCAAGAGGAACACCAUAAGCGAAAGCAGACAGCUGGACUGGUACUGACUCUCCUGCACGAACUCGUGUGGAGCAAACACGAUUACAUACCCUGGUACUCCACUCCCCACACGAUGACUGCUCGCCGUUGCCUCAUUACGGGGCAAUGGCUAAAUUAUCGCAUUCAUCAAUCCACCUGCGGAGUACCAUUGUCCGGAUGCAACUCCAUGGUAGAUGACUGGGCUCUCACAAGCGGUGGAGCAUGUCGGCUCAAUUCGAUGCAACGCGAAGAACGCUUAGCAUAGGCUCGAACGCUAGAGGACGGGUCAUGAAAGGGAGCUUCCCCUUAUGGGGGAUAUAGCGAGGUAGUGCAGGGCUGUCGUCAGUCUCGUGUUUUGAGAUGUGGGGUUAAGUCCCGCAAGGAGCUUAACCCCCGUUGGUAGUUACCAUAGGGUAAGCGAGGGGACUGUAGAGGAAUCGCCUGCGCAAGCAGUGAGGAAGGUGGGGAUGAGGUCAAGUUAUCAUGGUCGGUAGAUCCUAGGGUCGCACAAGUGUUACAAUGGCCGGUACAAGGAGCAGCCACCUAGCGAGAGGGAGAGAAUCUCGUGAAAACAGGUACCAGUUCGGAGGGGAGUCCGCAACUUGAUUCCAUGAAGCAGGAAUGGCUAGUAAUCGCGGAUCAGCAAUGACGCGGUGAACCCGUUCCCGGGCGCUGUACACACCGCCAUUCAAGCCAUAGAAGCCGAUAGCACACGAAGUCCGCGACUGAAAUCGAGCGAGGGGUUUGAUGGAGAGCGGCCGUGAGGUACGUUCAGUCCAUGGUGCGU